UAACGCUUUGGUGACAACAUGUGAAACUAU
rnacentral:piRNA from 1 species